rnacentral:rRNA from 1 species
CUAGCUACAGGCCUAACACAUGCAAGUCGAGGGGCAUCAUGGCGGCUGCUUGCAGCCGCUGAUGGCGACCGGCGCACGGGUGAGUAACGCGUAUCCAACCUGCCCAUGACCGGGGGAUAACCCGCAGAAAUGCGGACUAAUACCCCAUAUUGUCCGAGACAGGCAUCUUGCUUGGACCAAAGGAUUUCCGGUCACGGAUGGGGAUGCGUCCGAUUAGCUUGUUGGCGGGGCAACGGCCCACCAAGGCUUCGAUCGGUAGGGGUUCUGAGAGGAAGGUCCCCCACAUAGGAACUGAGGCACGGUCCUAACUCCUACGGGAGGCAGCAGUGAGGAAUAUUGGUCAAUGGGCGGAAGCCUGAACCAGCCAAGUAGCGUGCAGGAUGACGGCCCUAUGGGUUGUAAACUGCUUUUUCACGGGAAUAACUGUCGCGACGUGUCGCGCCUUGCAGGUACCGUGCGAAUAAGGACCGGCUAAUUCCGUGCCAGCAGCCGCGGUAAUACGGAAGGUCCGGGCGUUAUCCGGAUUUAUUGGGUUUAAAGGGAGCGUAGGCCGCAUUCUAAGCGUGCUGUGAAAUCCAGCUGCUCAACGGCUGGCCUGCAGCGCGAACUGGCGUGCUUGAGUACGCGCAACGUUGGCGGAAUUCGUCGUGUAGCGGUGAAAUGCUUAGAUAUGACGAGGAACUCCGAUUGCGAAGGCAGCUGACGGGAGCGUUACUGACGCUGAUGCUCGAAGGUGCGGGUAUCGAACAGGAUUAGAUACCCUGGUAGUUCCGCA